ACAGUACACCAGCACCAGAAUCCUCCCGGAUGGUAAUGGUUUCCAAUCAGCUGCUGACAGUGAUUCCAUCUGUAAUUUGAUCUCCAGUUAUGAACAUUCCCAACCCAAGAAAAUUAGCUGGAGAACUAAUGACAAGGAUGAGGGCAUCGAUGGCCAGGCAGCAUUUAUUACCCAUCCCUAAUUGCCCAGAGGGCAGUUAAGAGUCAACCACCUUGCUGUGGGUCUGGAGUCACAUGUGGGCCAGACCAGAGAUAGUGGGAACUGCUGAUGCUGGAGAAUCUGAGAUAACAAGGUAUGGAGCUGGAUGAACA